GCUACACAAAGGGGAGGAGGGAGAAGAAGGACCAGAAACUCAGCAGGACCCUGAGCCCCAAGCCGCUCCCUCAUUUUCCCAUUCAUUUGGCCAUUCAGUGGUGUGACAGCCAGACCUCAGAGGAUCCAGAAUCCAGAAGUGGUGAAGGAGAUACUGAGUUCUCAGUCAUCCUGAACUACAUAACAGAGUUUGAAGCCAGCCUGGACAGUAUGAGACCCCGCCAUAAACAAGAAAACGUUCAACCAUCUAGAACGGAGGCAACGUAGUACUUGAUGUCCAAUGCACUUCCCUCCUCAAGCUCAUUCAUAGAAAUAAAGUCGCUUUAAAGACA